UUUUAUUUUUUGUCUAGUUGCUAACCGAGUAAAUGACGCGUUUAUGGUUGACUAUUGCCACACAUUUCCUUCAAAUAUCUGCCCAUUCCUUGUAAAAGGCAUGAGAAUGUGCUAAAUAACACGAGCAUGGUUUCUAAACCGUUCUUGUGCACCUUUUCAUGCAUCGAUUGUUUGAAUUUGAAUUAUGUCCAUUAAUGCCUAGAAAAUGCACACAAUCUCCUAAAUAUGGUAAAUGAGCCCGGGAAAAUGUCAAAUUUGAACACGUUGCAUUUGAGGCGGUAUGUUGAUCAUUGGAAAAAAACUGAAUGACAAACUAGGACGGAAAUUAGGAUUCCCCUUCAAUCUUGGGGAUUUUCCCUCUCAAAAGGAUGGAACUUCCUCGGUGAUGGUUCGAUUUAUGAAGGGCGUGCAUGAAGACAUAAGCCAAACCUUCUCAAAUUUUUACCAGGGCAUGGUGAGGUCAUACCAUGGCAUCGUUCCAGGCGUCAUGUUUUUAAGCAUUUAUUUCAUUUUUUCUAUAGUUGAAAACCCAACAAACAGACAUUUGUGGUUGACUAUUGCCACACAUUUCAUCGAAAUAUCUGUCCAUUCCUUGUAAAAGGCAUGAGAAUUUACUAAAUGGCACGAGCAUGGUUUUCUAGGUCGUUCUUGUGGACCCUUUCAUGCAACGAUUGUUUGAACUUGAGUUAUGCGCAUUAAUGCCUAGGAAAUGCACAUAAUCCCCUAAAUAUGGCAAAUGAACCCGGAAAAGUGCCAAAUUUGAACACGGCGAUUUGCAGGUUGUAUGCUCAUCAUAGAAAAAAAACUCGUGGACGAAGGACAUAGGGAAUUUGGAUCCCCCUUCAAUCCUGGUGAUUUCCCCCUCAAAACCAUGAAACUUCCUCGGUGAUAGUUCGAUUUAUGAAAGGCGCGCAUCACAACAUAAGGAAAAUAUUCUCCAAUUUUUACCAGGGCAUGGUGAGGCCAUACCAUGGCACCACACCAGGCUUCAUGUUUUCCAACCAUGUGUUUCAUUUUUUGUAUAGUUGUUAACCGAGUAAACGACGCGUUUAUGGUUGACUAUUGCCACACAUUUCCUUCAAAUAUCUGCCCAUUCCUUGUAAAAGGCAUGAUAAUGUGCUAAAUAAGACGAGCAUGGUUUUCCAGACCGUUCUUGUGCACCUUUUCAUGCACCGAUUGUUCGAAUUUGAAUUAUGUCCAUUAAUGCCUAGAAAUUGCACAUAAUCCGCUAAAUAUGGUAAAUAAGCCCCUGAAAAUGUCAAAUUUGAACACGUUGCACUUGAGGCGGUAUGUUGAUCGUUGAAAAAAACUGACCGACAAACUAGGACGGAAAUUAGGAUUCCCCUUCAAUCUUGGGGAUUUUCCCUCUCGAAAGUAUGGAACUUCCUCGGUACUGGUUCGAUUUAUGAAGGGCGUGCAAGACGACGUAAGCCAAACCUUAUCAAAUUUUUACGAGGGCAUGGUGAGAUUCAUACCAUGGCACCAUGCCAGGUGUCAUGUUUUUUAAGCAUUUAUUUCAUAUUUUCUAUAGUUGAAAACCCAACAAACAGACAUUUGUGGUUGACUAUUGCCACACAUUUCAUCAAAAUAUCUGUCCAUUCCUUGUAAAAGGCAUGAGAAUUUACUAAAUGACACGAGCAUGGUUUUCUAGGCCGUUCUUGUGGACCUUUUCAUGCAUCGAUUAUUUGAACUUGAAUUAUGCGCAUUAAUGCCUAGGAAAUACACAUAGUCCCCUAAAUAUGGCAAAUGAACCCAGAAAAGUGCCAAAUUUGAACAUGGUGAUUUGCAUGUUGUAUGCUCAUCAUAGAAAAAAACUCGUGGACAAAGGAAAUUUGGAUCCCCCUUCAAUCUUGGUGAUUUCCCCCUCGAAACCAUGAAACUUCCUCGGUGAUGGUUCGAUUUAUGAAAGGCGCGCAUCACGCCAUAAGGAAAAUAUUCUCCAAUUUUUACCAGGGCAUGGGGCGGCCAUACCACGGCACCAUGCUAGGCGUCAUGUUUUCCAACCAUGUGUUUCAUUUUUUGUCUAGUUGCUAACCGAGUAAAUGACGCGUUUGUGGUUGACUAUUGCCACACAUUUCCUUCAAAUAUCUGCCCAUUCCUUGUAAAAGGCAUGAGAAUGUGCUAAAUAACACGAGCAUGGUUUCCAGAUAAUUCUUGUGCACCUUUUCAUGCACCGAUUGUUCGAAUUUGAAUUAUGUCCAUUAAUGCCUAGAAAAUGCACACAAUCUCCUAAAUAUGGUAGAUGAGCCCUGGAAAAUGUCAAAUUUGAACAUGUUGCAUUUGAGGCGGUAUGUUGAUCGUAGUUGGAAAAAGACUGAAUGACAAACUAGGACGGAAAUUAGGAUUCCCCUUCAAUCUUGGGGAUUUUCCCUCUCAAAAGGAUGGAACUUCCUCGGUGAUGGUUCGAUUUAUGAAGGGCGUGCAUGAAGACAUAAGCCAAACCUUCUCAAAUUUUUACAAGGGCAUGGUGAGGUCAUACCAUGGCACCAUUCCAGGCGUCAUGUUUUUUAAGCAUUUAUUUCAUUUUUUCUAUAGUUGAAAACCCAAC
rnacentral:lncRNA from 1 species